AUUGAACGCUGGCGGCAGGCCUAACACAUGCAAGUCGAGCGGUAGCACAGAGAGCUUGCUCUCGGGUGACGAGCGGCGGACGGGUGAGUAAUGUCUGGGAAACUGCCUGAUGGAGGGGGAUAACUACUGGAAACGGUAGCUAAUACCGCAUAAUGUCGCAAGACCAAAGUGGGGGACCUUCGGGCCUCAUGCCAUCAGAUGUGCCCAGAUGGGAUUAGCUGGUAGGUGGGGUAACGGCUCACCUAGGCGACGAUCCCUAGCUGGUCUGAGAGGAUUGCCAGCCACACUGGAACUGGGACACGGUCCAGACUCCUACGGGAGUCAGCAGUGGGGAAUAUUGCACAAUGGGCGCAAGCCUGAUGCAGCCAUGCCGCGUGUGUGAAGAAGGCCUUCGGGUUGUAAAGCACUUUCAGCGGGGAGGAAGGCGGUGAGGUUAAUAACCUCAUCGAUUGACGUUACCCGCAGAAGAAGCACCGGCUAACUCCGUGCCAGCCGCCGCCGUAAUAC
rnacentral:rRNA from 1 species